GGCGCCACGCUUCCUUACUUCCCAUAGGGUGUCGCUGUAUGGAAUGUAAAGAAGUAUGGGGCCUA